AAGUGGAAUUGGCGUGAAGCCUCAGCCGGGAGAGGAUGUGUUUGAACUCUCCCCCACGGAGUGUACAUGCACUAGUGAAGGAAACCUGGGUAGCCAUGGCAAUCUAGAUAAAAGGACGCCCACGCAUAUUCCCACGCACUCCCAUGCACCAGGACCACACGUAUGCUUCAAAGAAUCUGCCAGACUCCAGCCACGCCUGGGGAGAAGGGAGCCCAGAGAGACAGGGGUGUUUGUCUGGGAUAAGGCGUGGGCACCCCAAGCCUGUUCUUAGCCUUCUGGAAUUCCCUUAUCCUCAUUAGGAACUGUUGUUAACGUCACAGGAGACAGCAGGCGUCUACUGUUGGGUGCGGUGGAGAAAAAAAGUAUGGAUGUUUUGAAAGACUUGAAGGUAUUGGUUGGGAAAAAUCCCUGCUGGAUUCUGCAGGGGCCAGUUCAGGACGGGGGAGUGUUAGAGAAUAAAGACACUGAUUCAUCAGGGCCCUUAUGUCCCAGCCUCUGAAUGGCGUGGGGCACUGGGCGGUGGCAGGGCGUGACUCAGUGUGCUUGACGAACAUGGUGUUGUCAUCGCCCCUUGGCUGGGAAGCUUGGCCUUAUGGCAUAAGCUUUGGGUGGUGAGUUCCUUGGCCUUUCCUUAUUAGCAUUCAGAGUUAAGACUCUGGAACUUGAAAAUCCUUUUCCUUUCCAAAAAUUUCAACUCUUGCAAAAGAAAUAAACCUGGGCUAUCACGUCAUGAACUCUGCUAUACGUUUAAAUAGUAUCUUGAAACUCAACUGCCUGCUCUGUUCUUCCUGGAUUACUCUGUAACAUUCUUUAAGCCGUUUGCUUCAACAUGUGGAUGCCCCAAGGCAAUAAAGGACUUUAGGCUCGAUGAGAUGAGGUUCAGGCAACAAGCGUGAACCUUAACAACCACCUCCUCAUUUUCCCCAGCCACACAGGACAGGUGUCCCCACCCUCUCACCUGCACUCAGAAGGUGGGCUUUGGACUCGGAGGCCCUGCCUUUCCCAGCCCAUAGCCUGCCAAAUGAUAAUGCACUGGUUUCCCAGAAAAAGAAAAUAAAAAGAGAAAGAAGCAGUCUGGGGGCCACCGGGAGAUCAGAAAAGAGAACUAAGUCUCUCUGUGGCAGGGCAGUGCUUAGCAGAAGGGAACUGUUUUUAGGAAGCUCAGAUCCUGAUGCACUGGCUCAGAGAGACAAUGUGGGACAUUUGAGGUCAGUGGCUCAUCCUUUCUGCGCCCCAGUUUCCAAUUCUGCGGAACAGGCACUAAUCAUACGACACCAUGUGUCGUGGAAAUGGAUGAAUAAUCAGGGCCUCCCACAGAGGACGAAUGCCCCAAAAUGCAAAGUCAGGAGUGGCAGUGAA
rnacentral:lncRNA from 10 species